CUCAUCAGCAUCAGAAAGAUAUUUCUCUUCCCAGAAAAUUCCAAACGGAGCCAAAACUCCUCUCUCUCUCUCUCUCUCUCUCUCUCUCUCUGAGCUCAUAGCUCUGAAAACAGAGAGAAAACCUAAAGAAAAGAGAAAGGAAUGGAUUCGGAUCAGGGAAAGCUAUUCAUAGGAGGGAUAUCGUGGGACACGAACGAGGAUAAUCUGAAGGCGUAUUUCGAGAACUACGGUGAGGUUUCACAGACGGUGAUCAUGCGGGACAAGAUCUCUGGUAGGCCUAGGGGCUUUGGUUUCGUUGUCUUUCAAGAUCCUACCGUCCUUGAUCGCGUACUCGAGGAGAAACACACCAUCGAUGGAAGGGCGGUGGAGGCUAAAAGGGCUUUAUCAAGAGAGGAACACCAGACCUCUUCUAGAUCUGGAAACCCCAAUGCUGGGAGAAACUUAGCCGGAGGUGGCAACAUUAAGACCAAGAAGAUCUUUGUAGGAGGCCUGCCUCCUACUUUGACAGAUGAUGGAUUCCGUCAAUAUUUUGAGAAUUAUGGCCAAGUAACUGAUGUAGUAAUAAUGUAUGAUCAGAACACUCAACGUCCACGUGGGUUUGGAUUUAUCUCUUUCGAUACUGAGGAUGCAGUUGAUAGAGUUCUGCACAAAUCUUUCCACGAGUUGAAUGGAAAACUUGUAGAAGUCAAGCGUGCUCUACCAAAAGAUGCAAAUCCUGGCAGCAGUGGCCGUUCAAUGGGUGGUGGGGGUUAUCAAGGCUAUGGUAGUUCUGGUAUGAACGCUAGUGCAUAUGAUGGUAGAAUGGAUACUAACAGGUACAUGCAGCCUCAGGCAGCUGGAGCUGGUUUUCCAGCCUAUGGUUCUUCUGGGUAUGGUGGGCCAGGAUAUGGAUAUGGGGCAGCAAAUAAUGCUGUAGGUUAUGGUGGGUAUGGUGUUGGUGGCUAUGGUGGAGCUACUGCUGGGUAUGGUGGGCCUGCUGGAGCCUAUGGAAACCCAAAUGCCCCUAAUGCUGGUUACGUAGGUGGCCCGCAUGGUGCUGCAAGAAGCCCAUGGAACAGCCAAGCUCCUGUUGGAUAUGGCUCUGCUGGCUAUGGUGCAGGCUAUGGGGCACCAGCUGCUUGGAAUGCUGCUGGUGGAGGUGGUGCUGCUGGUAGUGGUGGGACUGCUUCUGCACCAGCAGGCCAAUCUCCAAGCGGGGCCACCGGUUAUGGAAAUCAGGGUUAUGGGUAUGGUGGUUAUGGUGGGAAUGAAGGGUCUUAUGCAAAUGCAGGUGGUUAUGGUGCUGCAGGGGGGCGUGCUACUAGUGCCCCAAAUAAUAAUGCCGGCAGUGGUGGAGAUCAACAGGGGGCAGGUGCUGGUUACAUGGGCGGUGGCUAUGGUGAUGCCAACGGAAAUUCAGCGUAUCCAAAUGCAGGUUGGAGGGACUCUUCACAAGGUGGAGCUUAUGGGGCUGCUCAAGGGAAUGGUGGCCAGGUUGGCUACGGGGGCGGUUAUGGUGGUGCUCAGUCCAGGCAGCAGGUCCAACAACAGUAAUGUGGAUGACUACAGUGUCAACUGGGCGGCUUUCCUUUUUCAAGGAAUUUCUUCCUUCACUUGCAUCAUCCGAAAUGCGGCUCGGUUCGUCAUCUUGCUCGUGGAGCGAACAGCUCUUGCAGACGAAAGCGGGUUUUGGGACUGGAGAUUCUGCGUUCUAAAUGGGAAUCGGAUGCCUACCCACUUCACCGUUCUCAAAGAUGUUUUUUAACAGGGUGAAAGCAUGAAAAGCGUUGAGGAUUCUGAUCCCGCUCGUGCUCGGCGUUCACCUGUGGCCAUGAAAGGGGGAAGGCACUGCGGGAGUUGGGGAUUCUCUUCGAGCCCAGUUCAGAUUCCUUUUCUUUUGAUGGGUGUUGGAGACUUGCGCUAGACUUGUUGUGGUAUGUCAAGCGUUAUGUGGCAAGAAUUAUUUUUAUUUUUAUUUUCCCCUUUCUUUUUCUUCUCUUUCUUCUUCUUCAAUCAACCGGGGUUCCUAUGUUGCACAACAGAAUCAUCCCCGUGAGUUUCAUCAGCAAUAUUUUGGAAUAAUCAUGUGAAUAAUCUCGGAGUUGCAUGCUUUUUAGGCCUUCUCUAACAUGAGCAAUUCAAAGGUUUUCCAGCUUUUGAUGAUA